rnacentral:lncRNA from 1 species
UCACAUCCACGAAUUAUCCAUGCACUACGGGCCAAUGUUAUUCGUGUAAUCAUCAAUGGUCAUGAUCAUGCCAACCACUGUCCAUCAAUGCACUACGAGCCAAUGAUGACUUUUACCACAUCAUUUGUAACAUUACGGUUAUGAUUAUACCGAAUAAUCCCUGGUCAUAAUCAUACCAAUCAACAGUCCAUCUAUGCAUGUAAGCCACAGAUGACUUUCAUCACAAUAUAAGCAUGAGGAUGAUGACAAUGAUAUAAGAAUUCAAUUAAAAAAAACAAAGGAUAAAUGUUUAAAGAUUUAUAAUUUAAUUUAUACAUAAUUCAAUAAUUUCCAAAUUGUCAACAUGAUACUGCUUUGUGGAGUAAAAUUUAAGAAUAAUAUUGUAUCAAAAAUGAUUUGGACAACAAAGAAAUCAAUUUUUGUCAUUAAUAGUACCCCGGGUGAAUAGUACCCUAGUGAAUAGUAUCCCGUGAAUAGUACUUUAUAAUAAUACCCGUGAAUAGUACUUUGUGAAUAAUACCCCAUGAAUAGUAUUCUGACUUGAAAAUAUCAAUAAUUAUCAAGAAUGCUCAGAACAAUAUUUCCAUGAAAAGAUACUGGAUGAAGUGCAAAUAUCAAGGAUAUUCUACUAAUUUCACGGAGUAUAGAAGCAAUACUUUAACAGAAUGAGUGUAGAAUUAGGAAUAUGAAACAAAAUAAUAUUACUCACAUACUACAAAGUAUGGAAGAAAAUAUUAUUUCUUACGAAUACUGAACAAAAAUAAUAUCCCUUACCUUAGAAGAAGACUGGAUACUAGAAUAGUGAAGUAGCAGAAUAUUCUUCUUCUUUCUCUCUAUAGCUUCUAUCUCUAUAAUUACUUUUAUGAGUCUUAGUGAAUUGGUGAGAAUGAAAGAAGAAUGAGCUUCUAUUUAUAGGAAAACAUAGUUUCAAUAAUUAUACGUUUUGGGGCUCGAAUUAUUACAGUAUAGUACCUUCAUCUUUUUCUCUAUUUUUAAUUUAGUCCUACAAGUAUUAUCAAACUUGCACCACCUCCCCUAAUAGUACAUGCAUGUGAAGAAAUAGUAUAUGCAUGUGAAUCAAUUGUUCCAUUCAUGUGAACUAAUAACAAUUAAUUGCUCAUUUAUCCGAUUAAUUACCCGAUUGGUCAAUUUAACCUCCAGAAAUCAAUUAUUAUCAAAAUAAAUAUCGAUUUCCACUAACACUAAUAAUCCCAACACAAUGGAAAUAUCAAUUUCAUCUUUAAUCAACACGAAUUUAUUAAUCAUUAAUAUUAUAACUCACAAUAUUUAACAACCAGAUCAUUCC